UAUAGUGAGCAUCCUGGUAGGGGCCAUUGACAAAUGACCUUUCGCGAAGUCCCGCCCCCCUUAGUUACUGUUGCUAAGUCCGACAGCUAAGACCGGAGUUGACUAGAACCAGAGAAGGAGACGGGCUCUGCUAGAACCUCAAUGGUAGCUUUCAUUCUCCGCAGACUGGUUCUCCCCUGGAUUGAUCUUUGCCCUGAAGCGCCGGGGCAUCAAGCUUAUCAGUGGUGGAGGAUGUGAUGCUCCUGGAGUCUGAAGCUGAGCUUCCUGAGGAAGGGUCCUCAUCUCGUUUGGCUUUCUUCGCCUCUGGGCUGGACGGACCUGA